rnacentral:rRNA from 1 species
UACGACUACAUAUCAGGCAUAUCAAUAAGCGGAGGAAAAGAAACUAACAAGGAUUCCCUUAGUAACGGCGAGUGAAGCGGGAAGAGCUCAAAUUUGAAAUCUUCAAGGUUCUACCUUGACGAAUUGUAGUUUAAAGAAGUGUUUUCUGUUAGAUGAGUAGCAAAAGUUCCUUGGAAUGGGACAUCAUAGAGGGUGAGAAUCCCGUAUUUGGUUAUUCAUUCUAGCUUUGUGAUACACUUUCAAAGAGUCGGAUUGUUUGGGAAUGCAGUCCAAAAUGGGUGGUAAAUUUCAUCUAAAGCUAAAUAUUGGCGAGAGACCGAUAGCGAACAAGUACCGUGAGGGAAAGAUGAAAAGAACUUUGAAAAGAGAGUUAAACAGUACGUGAAAUUGUCAAAAGGGAAGCGUUUGACACCAGUGUUGUUUUUUCCGAAAAUCAAUUACGAAUGGCUUGAUUACUGUGUUGUAUUGACCUUAUCAGCUUUCUGCACUUUUUUCGAGUCUUUCUUAAUGCACUUUUUCGGUUAACAAGUCAACAUCAAUUUCUUUUGUUGUAAAAGAGUAUUCGGAAGGUGGCUUUCUUUUCGGAGAAAGUGUUUAUAGCCCUAUACUUCUACAAUCGGAGAGAUUGAGGUCUGCAGCGUAGAUCCUUCGGGGUUAGAUACACUUUGUGCUAAGUUGUAGCUUUUCAUAGACAACUUGUUGACUAUGUUUAGUCAUGCGGCUUACUCGCUUGUGCUAUUUUACCUACGCUUAGGAUGUUGAGUAGCGACAUACGCAC